AGAGAGAGACAUGCGCGCAUAUCAAUAAGCGGAGGAAAAGAAACUAACAAGGAUUCCCUUAGUAACGGCGAGUGAAGCGGGAAGAGCUCAAAUUUGAAAUCUUCAAGGUUUUACCUUGACGAAUUGUAGUUUAAAGAGGUGUUUUCUGCUGAAGUUUUGGUAAAAGUUCUUUGGAAUAGGACAUCAUAGAGGGUGAGAAUCCCGUAUUUGACCAUUAUUUUCAGCUUUAUGAUACACUUUCAAAGAGUCGGAUUGUUUGGGAAUGCAGUCCAAAAUGGGUGGUAAAUUUCAUCUAAAGCUAAAUAUUGGCGAGAGACCGAUAGCGAACAAGUACCGUGAGGGAAAGAUGAAAAGAACUUUGAAAAGAGAGUUAAACAGUACGUGAAAUUGUCAAAAGGGAAGCGUUUGACACCAGUGUUGUUUUCUCGAAAAUCAAUUAAGAAUGGCUCGAUUUCGUAUUGCUUGAGACCUUAAAAGCUCACUGUACAUUUUUCGUGUCUUUUUUAAUGCACUUUUCGUUUAACAAGUCAACAUCAGUUUCUUUUGUUGUAAAAGGGUCAUUGGAAGGUGGCUUUCUUUUCGGAGAAAGUGUUUAUAGCCUUUGGCCUCUGCAAUCGGAGAGACUGAGGUCUGCAGCGUAGACUCUUCGGGGUUAGAUACAUUUGUGCUAAGUUAUAGCUUUUUAUAGACAACUUGUUGACUAUAAUUAGUCUUGUAGCUUACUCGCUUAUGCUAUUUUACCUACGCUUAGGAUGUUGAAGAUGUAGCACAUCAU
rnacentral:rRNA from 1 species